CGCGCCCAUUGUGCGCUAUCGCACCUUCCAUCAUCGUUACGUUGAUCCGAGCUGUCAUGCUGACAUCGACAGGCAAAUAAUUGUGGGGACAUUGUUUGAGAAGAGUGAUAGGCAAAACACGUAGAACGUGAACAGACAGUUUAGCAUUUCUUUUUAUAAGUAAUUAGUUGAUAUAUUAUUCAAGUGAAUUUAUAUCCAAUCCUGUACUGAUUUAUUGUCAUGGUUAUAGCGAGCUAUUAAGAGCAGCCAGCGAAGUCACCAGAAUUAGCUAAUUUCUGACUCGCUGAAGGGUCUAAAAGUUGUUUACCCCCAAAGAAGUCGCCCGGGAUUCGAAUGCUAGAAACUCAUAAACGUAAGUAGUUACAACAUAACCUGAAGAAAAUGGGUGACCUAGUAAAAUCUGUAUUUCAGGAAGUUUUUAAUACUGUCUUCUUAAUAAAGCAUAUUGAAAAACUACGGAGCUCGACUUUAUUCGUUGUUAGAAACAACAACCUGUUUUCGCAAACUUUGUUCUUUAAAGUGCGUUUAUCCUUAUUUUCUCCCGCUGAUG